GUUUAAAUAGCUUAAGUUUAAAGUAUAUUAUUGAAGAUAAUAKGAUUGAUUAUAAAUAAUCUUUAAACA
rnacentral:tRNA from 1 species